UAUACUGAAUGUAACUAUUUACCUGGUGUUUAAGAGGUGAUUCUAUUCUUCUAAAUUCAGAGGGUUGGUUCUCUAGCUGAUAAACUAUCAAACCCCUUUCUGCAGUGGCCACAGCAGCCAUAGGAUGAACCUAAAUGAGUUAUAAAACAGGUUGGAAGAGAGGCAGUUGUGUUCAUAGCAUAACAAAGAACUCUACUUAUUAUUUGGCAGAAAUCCCUGAAGAAUUUUACAGCAUCAGACUUCUUUCUGGGGAGGUGGGAAGAAAAGAGCUCACCUGUAGGUGGAUCUUCCAACAAAACAAAUCAACUCUCCACUGCCACUGAGAGCCAUACCAAAACCCCCUCAUUAUUAGAUGACCCUUCCAAUGUGAAUUCCAACAGUGGCAUACAACCUCAUCUGCAAAUAAAGGAAGGCCAGUCCUACUGCUGGUUUGUCUUUGGGAUGUUACAAGCAUACUAAACCUGCUUUGUAUGAUACAAUUAUCUGUUUUCCAGAGGUUUGAUCAAGAACAUCAAUAUUAGUGUUAUCACUAAGAUCAGAGAUCAAAUACUAACAGUCAGUACUCAGUGUGAACCUACAAAAGCCCCAGGGACAGCCACUUCACUCAUCCCCCCAGCCAUCCAGCUGACUCUAGUUUACUACACAUCGUGGCUUACCACAUCUGCACAGUAACAUCUUUCAGGGAGCUGCAAUGUCAUCAUAGGCGUUGGUGAACGGGUAUCCCAGAACUUUAAAGUUUUAUCCCAGCUUCCUGUCAUCACACAGCUGUAAUUGGGUGCUUUAAUCCAAUGGAUGGUCUUCACGGGAGCGUCAUGUUGUGCAAUCUGAAUAGCCUGAUUACUGUUGAGAUCCCACAUUUUGGCAGUUUUAUCACAGGAAGCAGUAAAUACUUUACUUCCAUCAUCACUCCAGCAGCCAUCUAGUACAGGCCCUGUGUGCAUCUGCUGAGCCUUUGGAAUCGUCUGUCCGUUAUCUUGAACUUCCCAGCAACGAACAUCAUUUGCCCACGAUCCUGCGAUAAGGAAAUUGCCUGGUAGCGUUGGUGGACUGAAUGCUAAACAAGAUAUGCUGUCAUCAGGUGGAGAUGUUACUUCAAUAUCCUUCAUUGGGUUGUGAUUAUCCGCAGUCGUGCUGCCGAACAUGCUGGUACCACCGGUACCGAACCCGGACGUGGACCCAAACAGACUCAUCCUCGUUCGGACGGCGGACGACACCUCUCGUGACACGGCCCGGCGGAGCGCAGCGCACGGGGCAGGCCGCGCCUCUCUGCGCAGGCGCCGCGAGCAGAGGGGCGGUGGCGGCGCAGGCGCACCGGCAGCAGGGGUGGGGACGGCGCUCUGCGGGCGGCGCGUUCCGAGCUGCUUCGCUCUCAUAGCGCUGCUGCAGGGCAGCACGGCAAAAGCCGUUCCGGUUCCUUUUUAAUUUAGUACGGGUGGAGCGGUAAGAAAAAGAAAAGCCUGCUGAAAAUACGUGCAUCGGUUUGGGCUGCGGAUCGAUUUUGGAAGCGUUUCCCGUGACAGUCAAUUGCGUUUCUUCAUGUAAAGUUUAUUACACGCUUUAAUCACCGCUGUUUCCGGCUCCUUUUUACUGUUUCAGAGCCAACUACAGAAAAUGAAUGAGGGAUUUUGUCGUGAUGUGCACCAUUAACAGGACUGCUUAUUAGACUCUUAAUGAACAACAUCUGCGUGCUCGCUCGCUCCAAACAAAUAACAGUUGGGGCGCUGGAACAUUUACAGCUGCUGGGAUAUGCAGUAACGAAGAACUGACUGAGCUUUCAGCCCGAACUUACAGAGAACACAAAGCAGUGCAGUCAGUACUGGCGUUUUCAAAAGGAGGUGCUUUGCAAUAAGUUGCCACCAAAGCCCUUUACUUUGCAGAAAUUGAAAGGUGUGCACAGCAUCAUUUUCUGCUUUAAGACAGAAGACAAAACAAUUCCUUGAUACAGUCCUAACGCCAUUUAUAACAACAUUCCCUGGGUGGAAGGAACGCACUUCAGUGUCCUGCUAUGGUCGUGGCACUGCUUUAAGGCUCACUGCAGUGCAGAAGGCACAGGGUGGAACAAACUGUACUAUGUAAAAGAGUUGUGAUUCCUUUUACAGCUUGAAAUAGAAAGAAGAGACAAUCCUAAUCUACUUAUAAGAACAAGCUGAGCAAGAUGCUGAUCCACACUCCUUUAUUUCUCUGUUUUUCUCUAAGAGCAGUCAAGAAAACAAAUCAGUAUGGAGAAAAACGGCUCAUUUGCAAACAGGCAUUCAUAUCCAUCCACAAAAUUGCAAUUUGUUUGGUAAAUACACUCUGGAAAGAUAAUCUGAUGAAAGAGAAGUUAGAACUUGGAUUUCAGCCUUCAUUUUAGAUGCUGCCAUAAUUUCCAGCUAAAAGGGGGGAAAAAAAUGAACUAAUUAAUAUGUGAUGCUGUAACAGCCAGACCCAGAGCCAGGGGUAGAUAUGGGCUUCCUCAAUUGUGCCCUUUUUUACUGUUGCAAAACCUAUCUGCUAUACUGAGAGUUUAUAAGAGUAAGAAGGAACAGGACUGCAGGUGAUAGGAUUUGUCCUGGGGAGAGUAAGAAAUAGGAAACAAGAGGUUUGGACAUACUUCUUUUUUCCACACUGGCUGACAAGCAAUGUAAGGUCUCUUCUGUAGACUUGCUAACUUAUUUUGAUCUUGCUUUGUAAAUGGAAUCAGGACAUCUUUCCGUAUAUUUAAUCUGAAAAGUAAAUAAAGUUAUUACAUUUUCUCAUAUAUUUCAGAAAUACUGAUUCCAAGUUACUGCUUUAUAAGCCAGAAUAAUGGAUGAAAACAGCAAACAAUAUUGGAUUUAAGUGUUGGAUGUUGGUUUUGUUGCUAUUGCUUUGUUUGUUUGAUAAAUUUAGUCAGAUUUUAUUUACUGUCUAUGAAAGAGAAGAAGACUUUCAUUCCUUUUGGGAAAUAACUAACCUCUUGAUGUCGGAUGGAAGGAGACCAAGCCACUUUAUGCAUGGAACGGUGAGCUGGUGAGCCUCAAAAGACAUUGACUAGAAUAAGAAAAACCAAUUGUAACAUUCAGAGACUUUUAGUUAAAUCCUUUGAGAUAUAAGCCUUUCUCAGUUACUGUCAGGUUGUAUUACAGUUGGUUAACUCUUUUCACUAGCAAAACUUUACAGGAGGAAGUAGUGCAACCAGAACUUACCAUACUCCAUUACUGAGAACAGUUUCUUUUUUAUGGCUUCAGCCAUUAGAGAUUCUAGAUUGGUCCCUUCUGUUCUUUUUAUUUUGUCAUGUUGUUUUUGUUUGUUUGCUGUCACCUUGAGUUCCAUUGCCAAACAAAACUGAAGCCAGGAGAAGCAGUGACAACUACAAUUGGAAGUUCCUGAUAUUUCCUGCUACAAGCACCACAUUAUAUAUAAUCAGCGAAUUUCACUGUGUCCCUGAGGCUUCUGUUAUGACAUAUACAUAACAGAACAGAGCGAGCCUGGACAUCAUCCAUGACUGUUUCCAGAAGGUGGGUUUUGUUUGUUUGUUUGUUUUCUUUAGAUGUUCUUCCUCCAUCUCCCCAGAAAGCUGUUUCUGCUCUCUGCCACCAGCCUGCCUUCCAUACUGUCUUUCUGUACCUACUCUUUUAGUGAUGUAAAGUGCCCCUUCUUGUUCCCUUUGCCUUUUCCUCCAUAAUAUUCCACACUAAAAUAUGUAUCCAUACACAAAUUCUCACCCCAAACCAAAACCUUUACCAACACAACAUUCUUUGGAGAACCAUACUGUUC
rnacentral:lncRNA from 1 species